GAUGAACGCUAGCUACAGGCUUAACACAUGCAAGUCGAGGGACCGGCGCACGGGUGAGUAAUACGUAUCCAACCUGCCCUUUACUCGGGGAUAGCCUUUCGAAAGAAAGAUUAAUACCCGAUAUAAAGGAUGGGGAUGCGUUCGAUUAGGUUGUUGGUGAGGUAACGCCACACCAAGCCUUCGAUGGAGAGGGGUUCUGAGAGGAAGGUCCCCCACAUGGGAGCUGAGACACGGUCCAAACUCCUACGGGAGGCAGGAGAGAGGAAUAUUGGUCAAUGGGCGUGAGCCUGACCCAGCCAAGUAGCGUGAAGGAUGAAGGCUUAUGGGUCGUAAACUUCUUUUAUAUAAGAAUAGGUAUUAUAUGAAUAAGGAUCGGCUAACUCCGUGCCAGCAGCCGCGGUAAUUC
rnacentral:rRNA from 1 species